GAUGAAGAACGCAGCGAAAUGCGAUAAGUAGUGUGAAUUGCAGAAUUCAGUGAAUCAUCGAAUCUUUGAACGCACAUUGCGCCCCUUGGUACUCCAUGGGACAUGCCUGUUCGAGCGUCAUUUACACCCUCAAGCUCAGCUUGGUGUUGGGCGUCUGUCCCGCUUCGUGCGCGGACUCGCCUCAAAUGCAUUGGCAGCGGUCUUGCCAGCUUCUCGCGCAGCACAUUGCGCUUCUAGAGGCUUUGGCGGAUCGGCGUCCAUCAAGUACACCCACAGUUUGACCUCGGAUCAGGUAGGGAUACCCGCUGAACUUAAGCAUAUCAAUAAGCGGAGGA
rnacentral:misc_RNA from 1 species